CAGCUCAGUUGCAGCUCCAGCGCGUCUCCGACCACCAGGAGCAUAUCUGUCGCGCCUGCAGUUGCGCCGCCAGCUGCUCCGCCACCAGGUCGCGCCACCAUUGCAAGUCAGCCCCUCCUGCGUCGAUCUCAGGUGGUCCAAUCGCUUCCAGCACGCGUAGUUUCAAUCCGGUACGCGUAAAAUCCCAAAUCCUGCAAGAAAAUAAUAUUUUGUUUGGAGGAUUAUAAAAAUUCAAAAAUGCGAGGACAAAGGCUGGAAGCACGUGGCUAGAAAGGCGGUCCUUUUAGAGGACAAUAAAGAACUGUAAUAGAUGGAAAGAAGAAUCGUGGAGUCUAAUUGAAUGAACGAGAUAUGGUUCGAUAGGAGUAAUAAUCAUUGUAUCAAAUAUCAA